rnacentral:tRNA from 2 species
UGCCGGGGUGGCCGAGCGGACUAAAGCGACGAGCUCGAGACUCGUUGUUCCACGGGAACGCAGGGGUUCGAAUCCCUUCCCCGGCGU